rnacentral:rRNA from 1 species
UACGUAGGGGGCAAGCGUUGUCCGGAUUUAUUGGGCGUAAAGAGCGUGUAGGCGGCUAGAUAGGUCCGUUGUGAAAACUCGAGGCUCAACCUCGAGACGUCGAUGGAAACCAUCUGGCUAGAGUCCGGAAGAGGAGAGUGGAAUUCCUGGUGUAGCGGUGAAAUGCGCAGAUAUCAGGAAGAACACCCGUGGCGAAGGCGGAUCUCUGGGCCAUUACUGACGCUGAGGAGCGAAAGCGUGGGGAGCGAACAGG